GACGUAGGGUGCAAGCGUUGUCCGGAAUUAUUGGGCGUAAAGAGCUCGUAGGCGGUCUGUCGCGUCGGCUGUGAAAUCCCGGAGCUCAACUCCGGGUCUGCAGUCGAUACGGGCAAACUGGAGUACUGCAGGGGAGACUGGAAUUCCUGGUGUAGCGGUGAAAUGCGCAGAUAUCAGGAGGAACACCGGUGGCGAAGGCGGGUCUCUGGGCAGUAACUGACGCUGAGGAGCGAAAGCGUGGGGAGCGAACAGG
rnacentral:rRNA from 1 species